AUGCUUGCUUUGCAGCACACAUACUUACUUAUAUUGGAAUGAUAAAGAGAAGAUAAACAUGCUCCUGCAUAAAGAUGACAUGCAAAUUCAUAAAGCAUCUAUAUAUUUAG
ensembl:snRNA U6 U6 spliceosomal RNA